UGGCAUUGCUCUGAAACUGUCGUCUACCAUU
rnacentral:piRNA from 2 species